UGCCGGGCACUGACCACUCCAGGCUAGCCGUGGUCAGAGUAUUUCCCUUUUUACGAGGCUCAAUACAGACAAAGCCAUUUGGAUAUAUAUACAGUUGAUCAUAGGACGGAAUGGCACACAGAAACCCGAGCAUCUUGUGCCAUCACCUGCCCUAAUCAAAAUAUUUAUGUUUGACAACAGUACAAGGCACUCCAUUCGCCAAUGAUGACUUUGAGAAUUCGCCCCCUGUGGACGUAAAAUGGGAGGUGGCGCGGGUCGUUCCAGUGCUGAGGAGCGCUCGUGUCCAUUAUCGGAUCAGCCCCCAGGGACGGAGGGGAGAUGGUUCCCACUGUCCGCACCAGGCCCGGGGUAUCGCCUGUCUGAUUGAAAUGCUGUCAAUCAAGUAGCAAAGUCGACGUCAUCAAAGCCCCGAUGAAGCGGAAGUGCAUCCCAUGCGCCGUAUUCUGCUCCACCUCUAACCCGGAAGUGACGGGGUCAAGUUGCUGGUCAUGUCAGUGUGAGCCGCCAAUAGAAUCAUCAUAUAAACCUGCAACGCCAUCAUGUAGUAAGAAGCCAUGUAAGAAAAAGUGCGACAAGAGAAGUUUAAAAUUAGACGCUCGAGGAUGUCCAAUUUGUCAGUGCGACUUGAUUCCAACGACCCAGAACGGUCCCAGCUGAUUUUCGGGACGUUUCUGAUAUCAUAGGGAAAUAUUAGUUUUCGGAACAUCUCCGGUCUUACAAGGAUGGAAUACCAUUACACAAUCGGAACCCCUCGUCAUUUCUUCGAAGUUUACGCAGAGGCGAGGUGUUCCGAUUGACUAUUAAACUCUCGAAAACUACAGGGAAAAGAAUUCUCUGAAUGACACCGGCCCUACAAGGAAAAAAGACAUGUCGAUUCUAUGAAUCUGUGAUUCAACAGGGCUACAGCUUAUACCAGGUUUUCGGAACACCACUUGUCCUACAAGGAUAAAAGACUAAAAGAUUCCUGAAAAACUUUGAUCUUAAUGCCGAGUUUGCCGACUUAUGUUAAUUAUCCGGACAAAUAUAAAUAUGUGACAUAAUCGGUUGUUGUAUAAAUGACGUGUUUGUAUUCGAGCCGGAACUUUGAGAAGAAAAAUAAUAAUCAUAAUUUAUUUGUUUCA